CUGUGGGACAGUGGCACAAGCUUGUCCCUGUUGCAAUGUGUGUGUUGAUGUGUAAGAACAUCUGUGUGCCCUGGCAGCUCACCAAGCCCUGCUGUGGUGCCUGAACUGUGAGCUGCAGGGCGGAGAUGCAGGGAGAUGGUCUGGUUUUACCCAUCUUUAUCCAUCUGUAUUUUUUUUUGUGGCUAAAACCUAAAACCACCUUAGCUGUGAGAGAGGAUGCUGGACUGCAUUGCAACUUUUGUAAGAAGGGGGUGGCUUCUUCUCAUUCUUAGCCAAGUGAGCCCAGAUUGGGGUUAAAAGGAAUGUCCUGAUAUGAUCCUAUCAAGCCCCUGGAGUUUACCAUAACAGGUUUAUCCCUGGAACACGGGUGUGACUGUGCAGGGAUGAUCCUGCCCUGCAGUCUAUGAACCCAACACUCUGAGGAGUCAUCUGCCUGAAUUUCCUGGUGUUUUCCAGUCUGGCCAUGGUGCUGCAUCUCCCAGGAAAGAGCAGGGACCCUUUCCAGCCUGGGUCUGGCAGGCUGCUGAGCCUGAUGUCCCUGUGGCUGUGCAGGUAGCGUUUGGGGUGCUGUUCCUUGGAGAACCCAGCAUGGGAGCAGAGACACCAGGACCAGAGCCAGCAGGACCAGCCUUCCCUGUCACCCUCAGCUCUCCAGAAACAACAAGAGUAGAAGUUGGUGAGUCUGAGGGCAGAUAGACUAAACUGAUAAUGGUCAGUGGUUGUGUGAACUUCUGAUAGAAAUCUGUGUAGCUGAAAAAACCCCCUCAAGAUUUUAGGCAUGUACAUGGUAGGUUCAUGUCACUUUCUAUGAAUUAUUACAGCUCAUUUCAAAAUAAGCGAACAAGAGGUUGAUGUGUAAUGAAUCUGUAGCAGGCAGUGUCACAGAUUAACAUUUUUAAAGCUAUUUCUUCAAAUGAAACAGCAAAUUCUGGUGGUGUAAUUGUAAAAUCCAAACUGGUAUUAUUACCAGCAGGCAGGAGUGAGAUGCCCCACAGAUUUCCACAGGUGAACACACAGAACUGGUAACAGAAGUGGGUGAGAACAGCAGCAUCACCCAUUUCUGCCUGAAGUGGAAGCAGAAUUCCAUGAUGUGUCAUUGCAGAAGCUUGGAUUGGUGUUUGGAUGCUGUUUGUGCCUUCUGCGGGGCUGCUCAGUGCCUG
rnacentral:lncRNA from 1 species